rnacentral:tRNA from 1 species
GCCGGUGUAGCUCAGUGGUAGAGCAAUGGUUUUGUAAACCAUUGGCCGAGAGUCCGAUCCUCUCCACCGGCU